rnacentral:rRNA from 1 species
GCUUGACUGUAGCUUGUAAUUGGGUUCGGGCUUUUUUUGCGCAGCCUAGGUGGGAGGCAAUGAUGAUUUUUUUCCGGAAAAAUUUGAGCCAUUCGUGAGAGACCACUCUGAAAAGGCUAGAAUCCUAAUAAUGAUCCUUGAAUCAGGACAUUUGACAGUUGCAGGUGGGCAGUUUUACUGGGGCGGUAUUCUCCUAAAAAGUAACGGAGGGGUGCAAAGGUUCCCUCAGGCUGGACGGAAAUCAGCUUAAGAGUGUAAAGGCAAAAGGGAGCUUGACUGCAAGACCUACAAGUCGAGCAGGGCGAAAGCCGGCCUUAGUGAUCCGACGGUACCGCGUGGAAGGGCCGUCGCUCAACGGAUAAAAGUUA